GGGAGUCAAUAUGCGUAGGAGAGCCUCUUCCAUUGCUGUCUGGACAGUUGAUGAAACCCUCGUAAAUGAUCCCAACUUCUUUCCUUGAAGGCUAGCUGCAACAGAUUCACAAAGCUUCUCUGCUAUUUCCUCCGCCACAUUCUUAGUCAUCAACCUGUCCUUCAGAGCUUUAAGUGCAGGCUCCAAAUCAGACUUCUCCAGUAUAGCAUUGCCUGCAAUGCUCUGAAACAUGGUUGAGAACCAACCCUUCUUCUUCGCACUAGGCUUGUCGCUCUCCACCUCCUCUGCCUCUUCUUCCUCGCUCUCGCUGCUUUCGUCUUCCUUAUCCAUCCUACUCUCACCCAACUCCGCUGCUGCAAGCGGCUCCGGCUCAACAAACUCAUCCCCUUUCCCAUCUGCAUGAUUCGUAAAAUCCAGCUUCACUUCCUCUUUAGGUUUGUCGUCCACCCAAACCC
rnacentral:misc_RNA from 1 species